AGCGAACGCUGGCGGCAGGCCUAACACUUGCCAGUCGAACGAACCUUUCGGGGUUAGUGGCGGACGGGUGAGUAACACGUGGGAACGUGCCUUUAGGUUCGGAAUAACUCAGGGAAACUUGUGCUAAUACCGAAUGUGCCCUUCGGGGGAAAGAUUAAUCGCCUUUAGAGCGGCCCGCGUCUGAUUAGCUAGUUGGUUGAGGUAAUGGCUCACCAAGGCGACGAUCAGUAGCUGGUCUGAGAGGAUGAUCAGCCACAUUGGGACUGAGACACGGCCCAAACUCCUACGGGAGGCAGCAGUGGGGAAUCUUGCGCAAUGGGCGAAAGCCUGACGCAGCCAUGCCGCGUGAAUGAUGAAGGUCUUAGGAUUGUAAAAUUCUUUCACCGGGGACGAUAAUGACGGUACCCGGAGAAGAAGCCCCGGCUAACUUCGUG
rnacentral:rRNA from 1 species